rnacentral:rRNA from 1 species
CCUACGGGAGGCAGCAGUGGGGAAUAUUGCACAAUGGGGGAAACCCUGAUGUAGCGACGCCGCGUGAGUGAAGAAGUAUUUCGGUACGUAAAGCUCUAUCAGCAGGGAAGAAAAUGACGGUACCUGACUAAGAAGCCCCGUCUAACUACGUGCCAGCAGCCGCGGUAAUACGUAGGGGGCAAGCGUUAUCCGGAUUUACUGGGUGUAAAGGGAGCGUAGACGGCAGCGCAAGUCUGGAGUGAAAUCCCAUGGCUUAACCAUGGAACUGCUUUGGAAACUGUGCAGCUAGAGUGCAGGAGAGGUAAGCGGAAGUCCUAGUGUAGCGGUGAAAUGCGUAGAUAUUAGGAGGAACACCAGUGGCGAAGGCGGCUUACUGGACUGUAACUGACGUUGAGGCUCGAAAGCGUGGGGAGCAAACAGGAUUAGAUACCCUAGUAGUC